rnacentral:rRNA from 1 species
GAUGAACGCUAGCGGGAGGCCUAACACAUGCAAGCCGAGCGGUAUUUGUUCGUCGGCACCGAGAGAGCGGCGCACGGGUGCGGAACACGUGUGCAACCUGCCUUUAUCUGGGGGAUAGCCUUUCGAAAGGAAGAUUAAUACCCCAUAAUAUACUGAGUGGCAUCAUUUGAUAUUGAAAACUCCGGUGGCUAGAGAUGGGCACGCGCCAGAUUAGCUAGUUGGUGAGGUAACGGCUCACCAAGUCAAUGAUCUUUAGGGGGCCUGAGAGGGUGAUCCGCCACACUGGUACUGAGACACGGACCAGACUGGUACGGGAGGGAGCAGUGAGGAGGAUGGGGGAAGGGGUUAGGGCCUGAUCCAGCCAUCCCGGGGGAAGGGCGACGGGGCUAGGGGUUGUAAACUUGUUGUGUGGAGGGAUAGACCGACGCUCGCGAGAGUAGCUGAAGGUACUAUACGAAUAAGCACCGGCUAACUCCGUG